AAUAAAAAUAAUUCAAAUGUAUAUACUUGAAAUAAACUUCAACAAAAAAAAUAUAAUUUGCGUAGUACUAUACCCAUACUAAUAAAGCACUACUAUUUCAAGAAGUUCACAAGCAAUGAACUUUACAAAACCGAAUGUAUUUCAUCAAAUAAUAAUAAAUUGAAAAUUAAAUUUUGAACAUUAUUUAGGUCAAUAAAAAUUAUCUAGGCCAAAUUAAAUUUUGAACUUUGGGAAUCCUUGAGCAGUACCUUCUCCCCAACCAUGUAAGCAACAUCACAGACCUUCCUAUUGGCAUAACUCUUCUGUCUAGAGUGCACUAUGCGAAGCCGUUCCUGAAUCAUCUUAACCUUAUCCAAAGCAUCCCGGACCAAGUCAGUACCCAUUAGCCAACGCCUCUAAGUCAGAAUCCGGGCUAGAAACGACGCAUGCAUCCGUCGUCCGCUUGCCGACCGGCAGUAGGGGCCACAAUAUCAAUAACAAUAAACGUCACAAUUGUUCAAAAAGUAUGCAUCAUUCACGUCAAUAGGUCAAAUUGAUUUGUGGCCACAUUUUUAAUUGCAUCACUCGCAUUUUCCUGCACAUUCAAAAUGAAAUUAAAAAUUAGAAAAAAAAACCUAUAUAUAGUAUGCAUUGGUUAUAGCAACAUGUCUUACUAAUAACUAAUGAGGUUUAUUUCACUACUAAAACAUAACUAAGUCAAACACAAAAAAAGAGGUGCAAGCUAAGGAGAAGCAAAGUUGUGAAUUAAUAACUUGCUUACAUCCCAAAAUCACAGAAUGCUUUGCCUCGAUUUCGAUAUGAGCACAUGCAUAAUAAUAGUGAGAUUUGGAAAAGACAAGGAUUUCAACGUAUCCUACACUUGAAAGAGGUCAAAGAAUAUUCUAAUUCCCUUCAAAAGGUUUAGUACUUUGUGUAAGGGCAUAUUAUACCAAUUAUAUUCGUGAAAUAUAUUUUCCUUCCAUUCAUUCAUAACUCCUGUUAUUAUGUAAUGGAAUCAUCAAAAGCAAAUAGUUUAGAAAAACAUGGUCUUAUAAGUUUAGAGUGUGAAAUAUAAAUAUCUUUUCAAGACUCGGAGCAUGAGUUGAGCCAGAAGAAUGUGAUAGAUUUUGGCCACUCAUUCCUCGUACACUACUUGCAUCAACGGGUGAAGGAAGAUUAGAUCCGGCACACCCUUGUAUAUCAUGAAUAUUUAGUCCAGGGUUAUUUUGUACCAUUUGAACAAAAAAAUAUCGCAUUUCUUCUCUCAUUAUUUCCUUCAUUUCUUCCUUCAAAGAAGUUAUUUCAUUAGCAUGCUUUUGUUGAAGCUUGCUGAUUUCCUCAUCUUUUUUCAGAGAUCUUAUCGUCACCGAUCUACCAUAGCAUCUAACCGGACCAGGUUGCUCGUUUCCAAACACAAUCUUAAAUGCAUCAUCUGCUGUUUCUUGAAACUUUGACGAUUUUGAAGUUCAGACCGUUAAAAAGAAAUAUUACUGAAUAUCACUUAGUGGAUAUGCUAUAGAAAGUAAAAAAUAAUAACAUUUGAAUACAGAAAUGGAGCAGCUAUGCCGAAUAUUGUGUAGAAAUACAGUUGAAAAAUGCAAAAAUCCAGAAAGGCAGUGCAAAAAUAUAGAAGCACAUAGCAUACUGUGCUAGUGUGCUUAAUAGAACAAGUAAAGUUUCAACUGAACCUUUUGGAAUGUAAUACAUAUACUGAUUAGAGAAGUGGAAAUCAGUCUCCUUUGGUACCAGGUGACAGAUUUUCAGCUCCUCUGUGAUUUGAAAUUACCAUUACAUGACAGAAUUCUCAUAAUUUAUUGCUUAGUUAAUUCACUGCUUGUUACUUCUUUUCACAUCACUUAUUUUGCUAUUCUGGAAUCCGUAUGUAGCGAGUCCAUGCAUUAUAACUUCUGAUGGCUUUGUUGUAACCUAUGAAUGGUAAGAGACAUAACAACUUUAAGGAGUGUUUGAUUAUAGUAGUAUGACAUAUUUGUGGUAUAGAGGGAGUAAGUUUAUUUGGACUGACAAAAAGAAGAAACACGAACUAACCUAAUCCUUGAAAGAUUGAAUCGAUGUCUUGCCAAAAAUAGGAAAAUCUUGAUAAUACCAGUAGAUGACAGCUUAGUCAUGCUACGGAACUUAACUUCUUCCUCCUAGUAAAAUCUUUUUUCUUCUUCCACCUGAUAAAUAUAGAUAAUUUUCAGACAUGACCAACUUCAACUCAGUUCUGUACAAGUCCACACAUGUGAAUUGUGACCCCCACCUUCUAAAUGACCAUCCAAAAUAGCAGGAAUUCUCUUAACUUAAACACAAAUUUCACAUGUAGGUGUCAUAUGUGGAAGGGUAAAAAUUAGCUGAAGUAAUACUUACUUUGUCAAACACUAAUCACGUGGUAGAAAUUAUCUAAAAUAUGUUUUGACCAGAUCUGAUCAACUCUUUCUCGGCAACUUCACAGCCAACUUUCAGUAGCACAGAAAUAAAUCUCACAAUCUGCAAUUAAAAAGAAUAUCGAUAAGAACACAAAGAUAAAGGCUGACCUGAGAUUGUCAACUUAAUAAUUUAGCAAAGCUGCAAAGAUAAUUGGACAUAUAUGCUAAGAUUCUCUACUCAGCUUCUAUUUCACAUACUAAAAGCUGAUAAGAGAAGAUCAUAUUACGAAGUAUAUAACUUUGGAUAUCUUUUUGGCAUAACAUUAUUCAAAUAUAAAAUGAUCAAAUUGUAGAACAAUUGAAAGAUCAGCUCAUUGAAAUAGUAUAAUUUCUUAGUUUAAUUAUACGCCCUUAGUUGUAUAAAUAAGUAAAAAAAAAUGAUCUCAUGCUGCGUCUUCAAAAUCAAACUCAUCUUCUGAUAUCAAGGAAUAUUGAUUAAUACUCGAGCACAUAAAGGAGAAAAGCUCAUAGAAACAGAAAUACCUCUACGAAAUUUUAUAGUAUUAGAAAUUUAAUACGUCUAUCAAGUGAUUGCAAAUCAGAACAAACCAAAAGAAGAACUAAGGAAAUAGAAUUUUACACCCCAAGAAAACUCAAAUAUUAACUCUCAAACAAGAAUUCUGGUCAAGCGAUUUGCGUGUGACUAUCAUCUCUGACAAGGCUAUCCAAAAAUAGUUGACGAUUGAGUUUACUGGAGGUCGAACGGUGUUGUUGUUACAUAUUAUGUUACCUCAAAGUAUAGUGGAUAGCAGUUAAAGCUAGCUGCCUUAACUGAUUAGGGUAGGAAAACAAAACUUAGCAGAUGCCUCCCUUAAUCAUAAAAGAGUAAGAUAGCCCAUUUUGAGCUAAGAAGUUAUAAGAAUUGAGAACAAUACCAGUUUUGACUUAUGAGCUGUGAGAUUGUCAUAUUAGCUUAUAUAUAUGAUACUUUGAGUUUCACUACACUUACUUGAUAGCAUGCAUGUCUCUUUAAAAGUUAUUUUUGAGGGACCAGCCCCAAAAUAAAAUAUUAAUUCAAAGAAAGAAAAUAACAAGUUGCAAUGGCAACUUGUUUGCGAUAAGGGCGGCUAAAAUAAAGUUGCAAGUUGCAACAAGACCAAAACAGAAAUAAUUCUGGACGAUGCAAAUUGCAAAGAACAAAGCAUUUUUAUUGGUUGAAAGCUUGACAAAUUUUGCUAUAAAUAACAGGCUUCAUUCCUCAUUUUAAACACACCAAAAUAAGAAAGAAGUAAUAGAAGUUAGAGAGAGUAAUCCACAUAUUGCAGUCUAUGAGAUAAAUAGUGAGUGUGAGUAAUAUUGUAGUGAUGUGUUUUUAAUAAAGAGUAUUAUUUCUUUCAGAAUUGUAGUAGUCUCUUGAUACUACUAAGUUGUAAUAUUAUAGUGGUAAUAU
rnacentral:lncRNA from 1 species